rnacentral:rRNA from 1 species
UUCUGGCUCAGGAUGAACGCUAGCUACAGGCUUAACACAUGCAAGUCGAGGGGCAGCGAGAAGAAAGCUUGCUUCUUGUCGGCGACCGGCGCACGGGUGAGUAACGCGUAUCCAACCUUCCCCUUAGUAGGGCAUAGCCCGUAGAAAUGCGGAUUAAUACCCUAUGUUGUUCGAUGCGGACAUCUAAGUUGAACCAAAGGUUUACCGCUAAGGGAUGGGGAUGCGUCUGAUUAGGCAGCAGGCGGGGUAACGGCCCACCUGGCCGACGAUCAGUAGGGGUUCUGAGAGGAAGGUCCCCCACAUUGGAACUGAGACACGGUCCAAACUCCUACGGGAGGCAGCAGUGAGGAAUAUUGGUCAAUGGGCGCGAGCCUGAACCAGCCAAGUAGCGUGCAGGAUGACGGCCCUAUGGGUUGUAAACUGCUUUUAUGCGGGGAUAAAGUGCGGCACGUGUGCCGUUUUGUAGGUACCGCAUGAAUAAGGACCGGCUAAUUCCGUGCCAGCCGCCGC